rnacentral:ribozyme from 12 species
AAAUAGAUUGACAUGCUGAACUGAAGAAGGAGUGAAAUCUUUGGAAAGAUUGAUCGAAUAUAAGUUCUUCUUCUGUCUUCUUCUUUCACCUUUUCAUCAUUAUUUUCUACAUCUACAUCUUCUUCUUCUUCUGAUUGUG